AGCCUCGCCUUCGCGACCAUGUGAAUUGGCUUCCCAAUGUUGCUUCCUGCAUGCGUUCUUACAAGGGUUGAUGUUCCGUGAUCGUACAUUGACUUGUCCAAGUCCUGUGCACCUGUACUUUAAUUUAUCUUGAAAAUGAACAUCCGUUGCGCAAAGACAGAAGACCUGAUGAACAUGCAGCACUGCAAUUUGCUGUGUCUUCCAGAGAACUAUCAGAUGAAGUAUUACUUCUACCAUGGUCUGUCGUGGCCACAGCUCUCAUAUGUGGCCGAAGAUGAGAAAGGAAAAAUUGUCGGCUACGUGCUCGCAAAAAUGGAAGAAGACUCCGACGAAAAUGAUCCUCAUGGUCACAUCACUUCUCUGGCUGUAAAGAGGUCGCACAGGCGCCUGGGCCUGGCUCAGAAGCUGAUGGACCAGUCAUCUCGUGCCAUGGUGGAAUGCUUCAACGCCAAGUAUGUGUCUCUGCAUGUGCGAAAGAGUAAUCGGGCAGCUCUCCACCUCUACACUAACACUCUUGGAUUCAUGAUCAAUGAGAUUGAGCCAAAAUACUAUGCUGAUGGUGAAGAUGCAUAUGCCAUGAAGAGAGACCUUGUGAGCUUUGCAGCCCAGAGGCCUUCUCACCCUUUCGGGGUUGCCGGCAGCUGCCCCUUGACUUCAGCGGGCAGUUUCCCAUAGAACGCUGCCAUUGGCCGAUAGUUGACAUCAAUCAAGAAGUUUGUUUGGAUCGAACAAGCUGAGCCCCACUGAUCCGGUCAGCUUCUUUGACUCUAAAAGCAGCAAGAAGGAACGUGACAAAGAGCCCGACACUGAGAAGCACUAGAUCUUCGCCUGCUGAAGCAUAUGUGAAAUAAAUUGUGUGAGGUUGA